GGAACUCCCCGUUCACCGUCAUGAUCCGCUGCGUCCCGCAUAGCCGCGUCACUGUCGCCUCCUUCACCUGCAUUCAGAUUCAGACAGGUGCAGGUGCAGGUGCAGCUGGUGCAGGGCAGCAGGGACCAGCAUACUACAGAUCACGUACAAAGGAAACAGAAUGGUGCUUAUAGUAGCUGCAAAGUCAUAGGCAGCGGUGGUCUUGUGGUUGGCGUGAUUAGCUCCUGAAUUGAUUCUCUUGGUGAUGAACCAAUGCAUGCAUAGUUCCACUCACAUACAUUCUGCUUUCUGCUUUACUUCCUCUUGAAAUUUGCUUUUACAACCUUCCUUCCUUGACUAGUCACUUGACUCGAUCCAUGCCAUGCAUGCAUGCCAAUGACAGUAACAAGCACUCCAGUUGGUAGACCCACUGCACAUCUUCUCAAACAGACCAGAGUUCCAAACUAGUAAUUUUGGCCAACUCAUCCUUUUGCCUUUUGGUCAGCUUCACCUAGCUAACUUCUGUGAUCAUGCUUCCAUCACAAGUUUAGUUUUCCUAGUGAAUGAAUUUGACUACUAAAACACCAUCAUACCAUAGGUCAUAGUUGGAUAGAGCCUUAUUCCUUACAAGAUGUCAAGAUUAAUGAGUGUGGCAUUGCCUACGAGAUCUUAUCCUAAAAGGAAGCUAAGGACAUACUCAACCAUUUAUUGUGUGUUGCAUCAUGGCUUGGCCUGAAUGGGCUCAUUGUGUACUGCAUGCACAUUUAUAAUAUUUUAUUUACGCACAUUAGUUGCCUUGUCAUAAUCAAUAGAGAUCACUGCUUGUUUAGUAGCCAUCUGAAUCAAAUGAAAAUCAACACGCAUCAACUACACUA